GGGUAUUUAUAGAUCCCAAUAGCUUCAGAAUUCGAGCCAAAAAGUGUCACAUCCUCGGAUUUCGGGGUAAUGGCGAUACCACCUGUUAAGAUCAAGAGCAACACUAAGAAGGGGGGGGGUGGUGAAUUAGUGUAGUAGAAAAAUCAUUGAUUUCGAAAAAUAUUCAUUUUGAUAAAGUCUAUUUUAAAAAGAUAUUAAACUUGAAGGUGUUC
rnacentral:lncRNA from 1 species